rnacentral:rRNA from 1 species
GACGAACGCUGGCGGCGUGCUUAACACAUGCAAGUCGAGCGGAAAGGCCCUUCGGGGUACUCGAGCGGCGAACGGGUGAGUAACACGUGAGUAACCUGCCCCAGACUUUGGGAUAACCCUCGGAAACGGGGGCUAAUACCGGAUACGACACGGCUUCGCAUGGGGUCUGUGUGGAAAGUUUUUCGGUUUGGGAUGGGCUCGCGGCCUAUCAGCUUGUUGGUGGGGUGAUGGCCUACCAAGGCGACGACGGGUAGCCGGCCUGAGAGGGCGACCGGCCACACUGGGACUGAGACACGGCCCAGACUCCUACGGGAGGCAGCAGUGGGGAAUAUUGCACAAUGGGCGGAAGCCUGAUGCAGCGACGCCGCGUGAGGGAUGACGGCCUUCGGGUUGUAAACCUCUUUCAGCAGGGACGAAGCGUAAGUGACGGUACCUGCAGAAGAAGCGCCGGCCAACUACGUG